rnacentral:rRNA from 1 species
GACGAACGCUGGCGGCGUGCUUAACACAUGCCAGUCGAACGGAAAGGCCCUGCUUUUGUGGGGUGCUCGAGUGGCGAACGGGUGAGUAACACGUGAGUAACCUGCCCUUGACUUUGGGAUAACUUCAGGAAACUGGGGCUAAUACCGGAUAGGAGCUCCUGCUGCAUGGUGGGGGUGGGAAAGUUUCGGCGGUUGGGGAUGGACUCGCGGCUUAUCAGCUUGUUGGUGGGGUAGUGGCUUACCAAGGCUUUGACGGGUAGCCGGCCUGAGAGGGUGACCGGCCACAUUGGGACUGAGAUACGGACCAGACUCCUACGGGAGGCAGCAGUGGGGAAUAUUGCACAAUGGGCGGAAGCCUGAUGCAGCAACGCCGCGUGCGGGAUGACGGCCUUCGGGUUGUAAACCGCUUUCGCCUGUGACGAAGCGUGAGUGACGGUAAUGGGUAAAGAAGCACCGGCUAACUACGUG